rnacentral:rRNA from 1 species
UACGUAGGGGGCGAGCGUUGUCCGGAAUUAUUGGGCGUAAAGAGCGUGUAGGCUGUUCGGUAAGUCUGCCGUGAAAACCUGAGGCUCAACCUCGGGCGUGCGGUGGAUACUGCCGGGCUAGAGGACGGUAGAGGCGAGUGGAAUUCCCGGUGUAGCGGUGAAAUGCGCAGAUAUCAGGAGGAACACCGGUGGCGAAGGCGGGUCUCUGGGCCGUAACUGACGCUGAGGAGCGAAAGCAUGGGGAGCGAACAGG